UAUUCUGCACCAUGGGGAAGGAUGAGAAGCUUCGACUAAGGUUCGACUCGAGCGAAGCGAGAGAACGUUGCCGCAGGCAACGGCCCGAAGGGCGAAGCGCUUUAGCGCCGAGUAAUCCUUCCCCCACCACUG
rnacentral:sRNA from 1 species